GACUUUUCCAAUGGCCUAAGUGGUCAAAGCAUUUGCUUCGGAUGCGGGAGGUCAUGGGUUUAAAUCCCGGCCAAGUCA